AUUGAACGCUGGCGGCAGGCCUAACACAUGCAAGUCGAACGAGUGGCGGACGGGUGAGUAAUGUCUGGGAAACUGCCUGAAGGAGGGGGAUAACUACUGGAAACGGUAGCUAAUCCCGCAUACAAUCAGAUGUGCCCAGAUGGGAUUAGCUUGUUGGGGGGGAAACGGUUCACCAAGGCGACGAUCCGUAGCUGGUCUGAGAGGAUGACCAGCGAUACGGGAACUGAGACAAGUUCCAGAUGCCUACGAGAGGCGGCAGUGGGGAAUAUUGCACAAUGGGCGCAAGCCUGAUGCAGCAAGGCCGCGUGUAUGAAGAAGGCCUUCGGGUUGUAAAGUACUUUCAGCGGGGAGGCGUUACCCACAGAAGAAGCACCGGCUAACUCCGUGCCAGCAGCCGCGGUAAUUC
rnacentral:rRNA from 1 species